UGGGGAAUAUUGGACAAUGGGCGAAAGCCUGAUCCAGCAAUGCCGCGUGUGUGAAGAAGGUCUUCGGAUUGUAAAGCACUUUCGACGGGGACGAUGAUGACGGUACCCGUAGAAGAAGCCCCGGNUAACUUCGUGCCAA
rnacentral:rRNA from 1 species